GCAAUUCCACUUUUGGGUAUAUACUCCCCCCGAAAUUGAAAUGAGGAAGUCAUACAGAUAUUUGUAUGUCUGCGUUCAUAGUGGCGUUAUUCCCAAGAGCCAAAGGAUGGAAGCAACCCAAGUGUCCAUCCACAGAUGAGUGGAUUUUAAAUAAAGGGCAUGGGUGCCCAAGGAAAUAUUAGUCCACCUCAAAAAAGAAAAAAUCCGGACACAGACUACAACCUCCGUGAACCUUGAAGACGUUCUGCUAAGUACAAGAAACCAGCCACAAAAAGACAAAGACCGUAGGAUCCCACUCACAUGUGGCACCUAGAGUCAUCGGAUUCAUAGAGACGGAAGGAUGACCCCGCGAUUGCCCGUUACCGAUGAGGACACUGAGCCUGCCGUCUCCCUAAAAAGUCUAUGGUUUUCUGGGAGUGCAAAGGACAGCAUCACUAACUUUACUGAUAAGGUUUUGUUCUGGGUGCUAAGAAUACAAAGGGAGAAUAAGACAGACCCAGUUCUUUCAUGGGAGUUCUAGACAAGUACGGGAGACAGAGCAUAAACAGAUGGGAAACCUGGAGCUGAGAAGACAAAUCCAGCAGGAGCCAGAGGGGCCUCUGCUUUACUGGUCAGGAGAAAGCAGCUGCUCGAUUGCCGGUCUGCCCCAUCACACUGCAGAGCUCUGGGUCACCAGCCUAAACCACUUAAUGCACAUCACGCCCAGGUCUACUUGGAAAUGGCUAAGGCACUUAAAUGGAACGUCCAACCUUUGUCCUCAGUCCCCAGACCACAGGAACCCAGACUCCUGUCCUCACAGCUGGAACUUCCUCUGUGUACUAAUUGGAAAAACAUCCUCCGGGAAAUGGGGCAUCUUUAUUGAGUCAAUCUUUGGUGAUGACUGUGUCAACUGGCAAGAUGAAGUUUAUAGCACGGAAGUGAAGUCUCUGAAACCUUCCAGUGCACUGGUCCCAGGCCUGGAUCCAAGUAGCCACAUUGACUUGACCCAACCCCCAGAUAGAAAACACUAAGGGUGACCUUAGUGAAGGGCUAGCUUGAGAGACUGGAUUCAAUCCAUAAGUUCAAGAGCCAUCCCAGCUAGUGGUCCCCAAUUUUUUUCCCUUCCUUCCUCAUUAACAGUAUCCCUGAAUAUUAGCUGCAAUAUUAAGACUACAUUUCCCAGACUCCCUUGCAACUACAUAAAGUCACAUGAGGAAAUUAUGACUAAUUAGAAAGGAAGCAGAAGGAGUAUAUGGAAUUUCCAUGAAGGCUCCUUAAAAAGGGGAAUGCAUCCUUCUUUUCCCUUCCUUUCCUUGUUUUUGACUGGAGUAUAGCUAGAGACUUAGCAGCCAUUUUGAACAGUGAGGUCACUUUGGAAAUGGAGUCCAGGCCAAUGGGAGGCAAAGCACUGUACCUUCCCGGACUCUUGCAAAAGAGAAACUUUUAAAUCUUUUUUAAGCCAUUACUUUGGGAGAUUUUCUGUCAUUUGUAUUUGAAAGUAAUCUUAACUGAUAUAACAGCAUUUUUAAAAUUUUUUAUUUAAUUUUUUUCAGUGUUCGAGAAUUCAUUGUUU